AAAGCUGCAGGAAAGUAGCUCUCGAGGACUAGGAUUGGGCACCCCUGCUCUACAGUAAUAGUGUGGGACCUAAAACUGUUGUUUCAAAUAUAUACAGUAUCUCUAUGCAAAGAAAUUCAUGCAGCAAACUCAUUUCUUUUAAAUGUGUUUGAGAAAAUUCUGAUUGUGAUGAGACACAAACUUAUGGCCACACUCGAGCAGCACUUUGAAUCAACAAGAAGCCCAGAGUUACAUGAAGUUAACAUGCAGGAUCACAUGUUCAGGCUCCACAUGUUAAAUUAAGUAAUUAUGUGUAUCGUUGAUCACACGUAUAAUAUCAGGAUCCAGUGAAAGUAGUUCUGGCAUGUGACAAGGAUUCCUCCUGGGCGUCUCCUAGGUGAGGUGUACUGGCCGUGUCCAACCAGGAGGAGGCCCUGGAUCAGACCCAGGACCUGAUGGAGUUCCCCUGGAUAAGCUGGAGGAGGUGG